AAUAUAUCUAUACAUUUAUAAUAAUUGAUUAGGUUAAUCAUUAAUAUAUCUAUACAUAAAUAAAUUUGUAUUAGGUUAAUCAUUAAUAUAUCUAUACAUAAAUAGAUUUGUAUUAGGUUAAUUAUUAAUAUAUCUAUACAUAAAUAGAUUUAUAUUAAUUUAAGAAUAAUAAUAAAUAUAUAUUAAUAAAAUUUAUUAAAUAUUAGUGAAUAUACAUUUAGAACUAUAAUAAUUUAUAUUAUAUAAAUUUUAUUUAAUGUUAAUAAUGUUAUAUUUAAAUAAUUAUAAGUAAUUAAUAAAAUAUUUAUAAUUUAUAUUUAAUAAAUUUAUUUAAUUUUAAUAGUAGAAUAAAAAUNUAUACAUAAAUAAAUUUGUAUUAGGUUAUUAAUUAUUAAUAUAUCUAUACAUAAAUAGAUUUAUAUUAAUUUAAGAAUAAUAAUAAAUAUAUAUUAAUAAAAUUUAUUAAAUAUUAGUGAAUAUACAUUUAGAACUAUAAUAAUUUAUAUUAUAUAAAUUUUAUUUAAUGUUAAUAAUGUUAUAUUUAAAUAAUUAUAAGUAAUUAAUAAAAUAUUAAUUUAUAUUUAAUAAAUUUAUUUAAUUUUAAUAGUAGAAUAAAAAUAAAUAAUAAUGAUUUAAUUAUUAAAAUUAAGAUUUAAUUUAUUAAAAAUAAAAUUUUUAAUUAAUAAUUUUUAUGAUUUAUUUAAAUUUUAUAUAGGAAAAUAGUUAAAAAUUAUUAAACCAAAUGCUAUUUUUUUAUCAUAAAAUUAGGGCUAUGCCCUAAUUAAAAAAAAAGAAAAAGAAUAGUUAUAUAGUAUUAAUAUAUAAUGGAUACCUAUAUCAAUAAUAUUUCAUAUAGUUGUAUUAGGUUAAUCAUUAAUAUAUCUAUACAUAAAUAAAUUUGUAUUAGGUUAAUCAUUAAUAUAUCUAUACAUAAAUAGAUUUGUAUUAGGUUAAUUAUUAAUAUAUCUAUACAUAAAUAGAUUUAUAUUAAUUUAAGAAUAAUAAUA